ACUCCUACGGGAGGCAGCAGUGAGGAAUAUUGGACAAUGGGCGGGAGCCUGAUCCAGCCAUGCCGCGUGCAGGAAGACUGCCCUAUGGGUUGUAAACUGCUUUUAUACGGGAAGAAACACUCCCUCGUGAGGGAAUUUGACGGUACCGUAAGAAUAAGGAUCGGCUAACUCCGUGCCAGCAGCCGCGGUAAUACGGAGGGUGCGAGCGUUAAUCGGAAUUACUGGGCGUAAAGCGCAUGCAGGUGGUUUGUUAAGUCAGAUGUGAAAGCCCGGGGCUCAACCUCGGAAUAGCAUUUGAAACUGGCAGACUAGAGUACUGUAGAGGGGGUGAGAAUUUCAGGUGUAGCGGUGAAAUGCGUAGAGAUCUGAAGGAAUACCAGUGGCGAAGGCGGCCCCUCGGACAAAGACUGACGCUCAGAUGCGAAAGCGUGGGGAGCAAACAGGAUUAGAUACCCUGGUAGACUGUC
rnacentral:rRNA from 1 species